rnacentral:rRNA from 1 species
UACAGAGGUCUCAAGCGUUGUUCGGAUUCACUGGGCGUAAAGGGUGCGUAGGCGGUCGGGUAAGUCUGAUGUGAAAUCUCACAGCUUAACUGUGAAACUGCAUUGGAUACUAUCCGGCUCGAGGAAUGGAGGGGAGACUGGAAUACUUGAUGUAGCAGUGAAAUGCGUAGAUAUCAAGUGGAACACCAGUGGCGAAGGCGAGUCUCUGGACAUUUCCUGACGCUGAGGCACGAAAGCCAGGGGAGCAAACGGG